GAAGAAAAAGUCUAAAAUGCAUGAAUACGAAAAUCAAUGCCAAAGAUAAUUUUUCCACAUGUAAUGAAGAGGGAUGAGUUGUGAAUUUGUUUCACACCCUGUAUUACAUCAUUUGAUCUCUAAUACUCAAUAUAACUACUGUAAAUGUGUCUCAAAGCUACAUUCUUGAGCUAUAAUACUUCUAUCACCAAUAGUCAGAACAAGAACACUUACCUCCGCUAAAAUGAUGAAAGCGAUAAGGGUCUCGUAGUAUGAUUUUCCGCCCAAGAAGUCCACUAACAAACUUGUAAACAGAAUGACAAUCACCACAAACACGAAGGUUCUUGAAAAUUUUAACAGUUGAAUAUUCAGGAGUAUUGAUCAAGCCAAAUGCAAGGGCAAGUCUUUCACUAUGGUUCCAGAGAUUGUGUUCCUUCUGUUCUUCAUCUGUAUCUUGCAAGGCAUAGCUUGUAUCAGGUACGUAACCUGCUUCCUUAAUCAUUUUCUUAAGCUCUUCCAACUUUGUGUAUAUAUGACUAGUCUGUGGAUGAGACUGCUCCCCCAUUCCAAAAGAACUAACUUUAUUCUUCAACUUGACCCAACUGCAUGCAGGUUUCUUCUUUAUGUUAUUUGAUCCCAUUUGGCUCCUAAGAGUCUCUACAUCCUCCCAUCUCCCAGUGCUUGCACAGACAUUUGAAUAAAGAACAUAUGCUGAAUCAUCUGAUGGAUCCAGUUUAAAGAGAUUUUCUGCAGCUUUCCUCCCAAUUUCCAGAUUGCCAUGGAUUUUACAUGCAGCCAACAAGCUUCGCCAAACAAGGUCAGUUGGUGGAACUGGCAUUUCCUUGAUGAAAGUUUCAGCCUCAGAAAGCCUUCCUGAUCGUCCAAGAAGAUCAACAACGCAUACACAAUGCUUUAUUCCUGCUGGAAUACCAAACUCCUUUAUCAUUGAAUGAUAGUAUGCCAGACCCUCCUCCACUAAGCCCCCAUGACUGCACGCAGAAAGAAGAGAAACGAAGGUAACAUGGUCAGGUUUAACUCCCAACUUCAUCAUUUCAUUAAAAGUUUCCUUGGCCUUCUCGAAAAACCCAUGUCUGGCAAAAGAUGAUAUCAUUAUAUUCCAUGAUAAUCGAGACCGUUCAAGUGGUUGAGGAAUUAUUCUUAACACGUCAUCUAUUUCUCCACAUUUUGCAUACAUAUCCAUUGUGGCAUUUGCGACAAAAGGAUCUGAGUCCAAACCAAGUUUGAUUGCCAAACUUUGAAGCUGUUGGCCUUCCUCCAAUAUUGCCAAUGUAGCAGUAGCGGCAAGGCAUUCAGAGAAGCCAAACUGAUCCAAAUCUACUCCUGCACGUCUCAUUUCCACAAGAAAUUUCAAAGCCUCUUCUACCUGGCCAUGAUGAGCAUUUGCAGCCAUAAUGGCAUUCCAUGCUACGGCAUUCUUAUUAGUUAACCGAUUAAAGAUUUGGUUACUGGAAUUCAGAUCACCACACUUGGCAUACAUCGUGAUGAGUGAAUUCUGCACAUAAUGAUCUGAUUCCAAUCCUGUAAGAACUAUAAUAGCAUGGAUGGGCAUCCCAUGUUUCAGCAGAUCAUUUGGAGACAAGCAAGCACCAAGAACAUUUGCAAUAGUAAUAUAGUUUGCAGGUAUACUUUCUUCUCUCAUCAAUUUGAAGGCUUUUACUGCUUCAUCUGGUUCUUCAUUAUCCACAUGACCACCAAUAAGCGCAUUCCAAGUCACUUCAUCCCUCCUGGGCAUCGUUUGAAAUACCUUUUUGGCUGCAACCAUCAUUCCAGACUUUGUAUAGAGACUAACCAAUGCAUUGCCAACAAUCAGAUUUUCAUGUAAACCUGUCAGGAUUACAAGGGCAUGAAGAAUCUUGCCUUCGGUGAUAAAUUCCGGGUCUGAACAGGCAGCUAAUGCACUUGUAAAAGACACAAAAUUUGCUACUUUUGACUUGUUAAAAAUUCUACCAAAUAUUUUCAAGGCAUCUAGGCACUUCCCAUACUGAGCAUAGCAGGCCAUCAUGGAAUUCCAUGAAAUCAAAUCCCUUUCAGCCAUUCUUUGGAAUACCAACUCUGCCUGUUCAGAUUCCCCAGCACCUGAAUAUAUUCCUAUGAGAGUAUUGCAUGUGCAAAUAUUUGUGUCCAAUCCAAAUUUUACUACUAGGGAGUGAAUUCCUCUGCCCCAUUUCAAAUUAUCUAACGAGCCACAGCCUGAUAAAAGAGUUGAAAGUGUGGUGGAAUUUAUAUGGUUAUGAACAUGCCGCAUCCAAUGAAAACAUCUUAGAGAUUCUUCACAAAGAUCAUUAUGCACAUUUACGGAAAUCAUAGAGUUCCAUGAGAUUGUGUCACGUUCAUUCAUACCACCAAAAAUAUGGCAAGCUUCUUGCACUCUACCUAAACUACCAAACAUCGAUAUGAGAGAGUUCGCUACAGAAAUAUUAGUUUCUAACCCAAACUUUAUAACAUGCCCAAGAAUUUGAUGACCCAAGAAUCCAUCCACAAGUGACGCACAAGAACUAGCUACAGUAGCUAAUGUGUUGGCAUUGCAACUCAGUCCUUCAAGCCUUAUUCGUGAAUAUAUAUUCAUAACUUCCGUUGGAUCUCCAAAAUCUGAAUAAGCAACCAUCAUCGCAGUCCAAGAAACUACAUUCUUAUCCGGCAUCUCUUCGAAGAGCUUCCUUGCAUUAAAAGCCAACCCAUAAGUCCCAUAAAAAUGCAAAAGCGACGUACCCACAUAAACAUCACCCAGAAGGCCAAACUUCACAACCAAAUCAUGGACUUGAAUCCCUUCACUUAACAUACACCCCGACCUAUCACAUGCGGUUAUCAAACUAGCAAGUGCAAAGCCACUAGGAUUAAUGCCAGAAUCACGCAUUUCAUUAAGAAACGCAAUCGAUUCCCUAUAUAGACCUGCGCGUACAAAUGCGCUCAUCAUGUGGUUCCAAGAAGACUCAUUUCUUUCACACAUAUUAUCGAACACAUAACGAGCAAUACCUACGUCGCCAAACUUGGAAUACAUAUUUAUUAAAGUGUUAUUGCAAAACACACCAAGAUUAACUAAGCCUUUAAUGCAAAGAGCGUGUAAGGCUUUGCCAGCGACUUCGUUGGUGAUUUGCGAGAAACCCUUUUGAUAGAAGCAGGAUAUUUCCGGGUUCGGGUGGCUUGAAAGGGGAAUAGAAGCCCCAUGAUUUCUGCAUGCGACGAUAUUUGUGUUUGUGAGUUCUUCUAUUUCCAUGCAUGGUAAUGAGAUUGUUGAGAAAGGUUUUGUGUUUAAAAGAUUUUGAUGGAAAAGAAUGGUGGUCAGUGGAUAUUUGGAACUGAAAAUAGAGAGUUUCCUACAGCAGCAAGCCAGCUCGAACUGUUUGUUGAGAAACAGUUUAGGAAGUCAGCAUUUGCCUGUGCCACUCGGGCUGUAGUUUCGUUUGUCAGUUGUUCUAUUUCAUAUCCACUUCUCUUAUUUGAUAAAAGCUUCAAAUUUGAGUUUGUU
rnacentral:misc_RNA from 1 species